CACGUAGGGAGCAAGCGUUAUCCGGAUUUAUUGGGUGUAAAGGGUGCGUAGACGGAGAAGCAAGUUAGUUGUGAAAUCCCUCGGCUUAACUGAGGAACUGCAACUAAAACUACUUCCCUUGAGUACUGGAGAGGAAAGUGGAAUUCCUAGUGUAGCGGUGAAAUGCGUAGAUAUUAGGAGGAACACCAGUGGCGAAGGCGACUUUCUGGACAGUAACUGACGUUGAGGCACGAAAGUGUGGGGAGCAAACAGG
rnacentral:rRNA from 1 species